UGCCUUCACGCGAAGAGACGCGCACAUGAAGAGGCGACCCGGGGGCGCCACAGCUGGCCAUCACUCCUCCGCCACCGGUCCCCACUGAAACGAGCCUUCACCGGGCAGCUGAGACGUUAAACCGGAUGCCUCUAUGAUCCAGCUAACCGCGCGGCGAGAUAUACGGUGUUCAGUUUGCGCAAGACGUGAGCCAUGGCUGAACCGAACCCCUCCCGCCCCCAAAGGAAGAUGUCCACCGCCGGGGAGAGCGUGUACAAGGUGCUAGGGCUGGAGAAAGGAGCGACGGCCGAGGACAUCAAGAAGGCCUACAGGAAACUGGCGUUGAAGUACCACCCGGAUAAGAACCCGGAGAACCCGGAGGCGGCGGAGAAGUUCAAGGAGAUUAACAACGCCAACUCCAUCCUAAAUGACGAGACCAAGAGGAAGAUCUACAACGAGUACGGCUCCAUGGGCCUGUACGUGUCCGAGCAGUUCGGGGAGGAGAGCGUCAAAUACUACUUCCUCAUGUCCAAGUGGUGGUUCAAGGGUCUGGUGCUGUGCUGCACCAUGUUCACCUGCUGCUGCUGCUGCUGCUGCUGCUGCUUCUGCUGCGGGAAGUGCAAACCACCCGACGACGAGGAGAACUACCAGUACGUCGACCCCGAAGACCUGGAGGCCCAAAUCAAGGCGGAGCAGGACGGAGGUUACACGGUAAUCAUAGGCCAGCCCAAAUCUAACCCGGGCGCGGACGGCCCAGAAGGCCCGAGUCAGCCCGCCCCCGUGCCGCUGCCGAUGCCGCUGCCGAUGCCGAUGCCUCCCGCCGAGGCCCAGUCGCCGAGCCCGGCCGGUCCAGCGGGGGAGGAGAACCCGGGAGGGACGCUGCCAGAGUCGAAAUGACUCGUAAGAGCCGCCUCGUCUUGGCCCUCCGUCACGUCGUCCCCGCUUGGAAAGUGACAGUGGGGAUGAGCCUCAACUAGCAGAAGCAGCCUUUCGAGCCCCUACUAUGAUCCAGCCACAUUCGACUGCUGCCAGAGAGCAACCAGCUGAGAGCCACCAGCCGCCCCCGGCCCCACACCUCAAUCCCGCCCCCCCCCCCCGACCCACCGGAUCUACCCUCCUGGACCACACCCGCAAGGUGGGCGCCUAAAGGCCCCUGGGCCCCUUCGUUGGAACUCAAGUUAUAGAGACGUAUUCAUGCAAAAUUAAACUACCUACUGGGCUUGAAAAGGCCAAGCGCCGCCCCCCCGCCCCCCCCCCCCCCCCCCCCCCCACGCUCCAUCUCCCUCCAGGUUGCUACAUACUUUUAGCCUAGCCUGCGGCUACGUGUGAUCCUGCCAACCGUUUCAGUCCGUCAUGCAGGACCGGGCUUAACAGCGCCUCACUAAUCUGUUCUGAUCAUCCCUUAACGAAGCCGGGAGGACCGGGCUGCCGCAGUGAGCUGCAGGGCCGCGCCAUCUCACUAUCUGCCUGCUAACGGGACUGGCAUUGACUCUCUCCGAACCUCCCUCACGUCUCCCUCCAUUUUGGAUUGUGUACGUGUCUUUUAUUUCUUUUGUUACAUUCCCUUCCCUCUUUAACUCAAAGAAAAAGGAUUUUGGAACGCCGCUCGUGGCGGCUGCACGGCGACGUGCCUGCGGAGGACCUUAUUUUGUCGUCGUCCUCGUCCUUCAGUCUCAACGAACCGUCGUAUUCCGCAUUCAAUAUCGCAUUGACGCCGCCUUCGCGUUGACCCUUUCAAACGCCGCGCACGCUGCCGAAGCGUGGUGGUUGGAUUCUCCUCACACCGGGGACGAAGCGGAACAGAGGAGACGCGGCUCGGCCCGAAGCGAUCUUUUGACGUUGCGUGUCUGAGCCGAAGCCGGGCGGUGACGGCGCAGCAGCGCCCGCGGUGCCGUCCAGGCGUUCCUCUCCAACAUGCAUGCAUUGUUUCUGUCCCGAAUGCACGCGUUGUUGUCAUCCCUUCCCCCUCGGCCCGGCACACACUCAUGUACAGCACUGGAAUACAGUCAGCCCACCAAACCAGAAAACUGCCUAGUGCGCACACACACACACACACGCACACACACGUCAUGGUCACUGGGCUGCAAAAACGAGCCAGCCAGAUGUGUGGACUGAAACGGACAACGACAGAUGCCAUAGCGUGGAAGAGAAAUACGUCGCUCGUCAGAUCGCUGCGCUCCGUCUUUUCUUGUGUUGCAGUCAAACUCUUUGGCAGACCGACGCCAACAGCUCCAUGUAGCGUGCCAACCCACGAUCACUCCAGUCGAGCCCCAUUGGUCUCUGGAAACGCCAUUUGUUGUUUCUUAUUCUCUCAUAUACGUUUGGGUCUAUGCACCUUGCAAAGCGGGUCCGUUCCUUUCAAAUGGUUCUGAUGUAAGUCCAGGGUUUUAUUUGACCUCUUACACACCAGAACGACCAAAACUGGCCAUUUUUAAGUUACUUGAUGAAGCGUGAACUCUGGUCCAGAUCCAUUAAGACUGCAUUGCGAGGGGAGGUCAUGAGGGAUUCGUGAAAAAGGUCACUGAGAAUACUUGUUCCCGGCUGUCUGGCUGACACGUGUCCCUGUGCCGGCCUUUAGGGGAUCUGGAUCAGUGUUGUUGUUUCAGCUGCACAGAACUGUGAUGAUGGCCACAAAGAGGGGUUUUUUUUUUUUUCACAAAAACAUUUUUUUCUUUUUCGUUAGGGCCGCUCCUUCAGUGCUUUAGCUCACUUAAAUGUUCUUGAAACCAUCUGGUUUUGGGUUGUUUGUUAGAAGGGAGCGUUCACUCAUGGUUAGGUUACUUUUUAAUAGCGGUUUCCUCUGCAUGGCAAACGUUGACGCUGCAGCUCGACAUGGGACCAUAUGGAAAGUUACGGUCAAGGUUCCCUGUAUCAUCCUUUGAAUUGAAAUGUGGUAUAAACUGUUAAAAUGGCACUAAAACAGACUGGAGCAAACUCCAUUUUUAGUGAACAAAACGUUAGAUGAGGCAAUUCUUAAAUACCUACAUGGUAACGAAUAAAUGAAGGUUUAAAUAAUAGCAGCAUUGUGUGUCUGUUCUUUCUUCUAUAAUAAUUCUCAUUAUGUCUUUACACUCAUAAUGGAAAUUCUCCAUCAACUUUUUUUUUUUUUUUAAUUUCAUUAAAAUCCAAUACUCCUUAAAACCUACAUCCCAUCUCUAGCUGCAGCAAACAGCUUUUCAUGGUAGCUUUACUUUAAGGGACACAAAUGAUUAGUGGACAGAUUUUCUCUUGAUCAAAUAACUGACUAAUCGUUUCAGCUCAAGCGGCUGAAGGUCUUUUUAUCGAGUUAUUCCAGCGUUCCAUUGUUACUGAUCUGUACAGAGGGCUUUUGAUGGAGGCGUCCGGCUGCGUUAAGAGUCUUAUGAACCAAAAACCUGUGUUUUUAUUGAGUCUGAUUCUGCCGUGUUCCGUGUAAAGUCGACCUCGAUGCGCUUCGCCAGGUCUAGCAAGUCAAUAUCGUGGGGAUGGUGUUGAGUAACGUUUACUCUACUUGAUACAUGCUGUGAGUUUCAUGUUUGAUUACUUGCCACACAGGUGCUUUGAUAAAUUGAACGUGCUUUACUUCUGGAACAUGGGGAUUAUUAAUGUGGCGACAUCAUCACCGGGUGGGUUUUUGUUGAUUCUUCAUCAAAGACUUAAUUGCUGUCAGCGACUUUUUAUUCAUCUGUUUUAUUGUCUGGGACCCACCGUGAGUCCGAACUGACCCCGCGGAGACAGAAACAUUCUCGUGUGUACGUAUCUAGAUAAAAAAAAAUAGAAAUCUUCCUAUCAGACGGUGUUUUAAAAGGAGUUGUUUGACAUUUUUGACUCUACUGAUCGCAUUGAAAACUUUUAAGAAUGUUUACUCUGGUCAAUACGUCAAUGUGCUGUUGAGAAUUAUUGUCUCGUGCAAAAUACUGUCGCUUGUAGGUACAUUGUUUUUUUUUCUAAAUGUUCUCGCUGUCCGCUGGCAGAUUAUUCCUUUUGUUUUCCUCCCACUAUAAAUAAAGGCCAUAGUGUGUCUGUGUCAAGCUCAGCUGCUAAUGCUCCUCAAUGUUAAUAUUGCCUGGAAAACUGCACUAGAAUAAUGUAGACCUCCACGUGGAACCAGCAAUCAGGAACACUUUCAUUUUGGUGAAUUACAAAAUGUUCCCAAACCAGCUCGGACUGAUGCUUCCUUCAUUGACUUCUGUCUCUUUAACCACCGAUCUUUAAAGAGGGACUUCAGAUCUCGAAUCAAAAGCGUUAAAGCAACGAGGCCACGAUGCUCUGAAUGAAGACAUUAUUUAUUAUUUUUGUAAUUGUUGGUAAAAAUGGUAAAUUUUCAUUAUUGUGAAUUGAGACGUUUAACAAAUUAACGUCUAACAGUGUAAUUUGUAAUUUGUUUUCUUUUUUUUUUUCAUUUGUCACAUAAUGGCAUAAUAUAAAUGUAAUAUUACUAAUGUGGGGGGGUCAACUUGUCGCUUAUGUUGGCUGUUCAAUGAUGAGUGAAGUCUCCCUUGAGUCCGGGUGCAGCGCUUCGUGCUAACCUGAUAGCAUACGCUCUGGUAACAUGAACUCAAUGCACGCGAAUGCUAAAAGCUGUUAGCAUGGAGCUAACGUUCUGCACAUGAUUUGUGGGUUGGUGUUGUCUUUAAUUGACUGACAAGUAGGACAAUCCACUAAAUUGCUGUAUUUCUCUUCGUAGUGACGAGAACAUGUUAAAACGAUUAGAUCAUGGUGAGGACAUUUUUAUCGAUGAUGUUUUUUUUGAGGGGGGGGGGGGUUCCAUGUGGACGAUGUGUAAAUGAUUUAACGUUAAAUUCAAACGAAUAAAAAAAACAAAUGUUUUUUUAUUUUUUAUUUUGUCAUUCAUUUGCAUUUGGGUGUAAUUUCCCCAUGAAAAUAAUAAAACCACUGUUAAAACCA